rnacentral:rRNA from 1 species
AUUGAACGCUGGCGGAAUGCUUUACACAUGCAAGUCGAACGGCAGCAUAGGUGCUCGCACCUGAUGGCGAGUGGCGAGCGGGUGAGUAAUACAUCGGAACGUGCCCAGUCGUGGGGGAUAACGUAGCGAAAGUUACGCUAAUACCGCAUACGAUCUACGGAUGAAAGCGGGGGACCGUAAGGCCUCGCGCGAUUGGAGCGGCCGGUGUCAGAUUAGGUAGUUGGGGGGGUAAAGGCCCACCAAGCCAACGAUCUGUAGCUGGUCUGAGAGGGCGGCAAGCCGCACUGGGAGUGAGACACGGCCCAGAGUCCUACGGGAGGCAGCAGGUGGGAAUUUUGGACAGUGGGCGGAAGCAGGAUCCAGCAGUGCCGCGGGCAGGGUGAAGGCGUUCGGGUUGUCAACAGGUUUUGUACGGGGCAAAAAGGUUUCCUCUAAUACAGGGGGCUGAUGACGGUAACGUAAGAAUAAGCACCGGCUAACUACGUGCCAGCAGCCGCCGUAA